rnacentral:misc_RNA from 1 species
CGGAACUUCAUUUCCCAGCCAUGGAUGUGGACGUCAAUCCCUAUCCUGGUGCACGCAUUCCUGCUGCCUCACACGCUCGCCCACCAGUGUCGUCUUCACCUAGCGCUCGACCUCCAGCUCACCUCUGCCCUCUCAUGCUUGCCGAGCUGCUCUCAGAUGGUUGCUCGCGAGUUUCUUCCUCCCCAACACCGUCAGCUUGCCGCGUCUCUGGUCCAGCUCCAGCUCGUCGAGUCCCUCUCUGUGUGCGCCAUGCAGCUCGCUCGGCCGCGACCUUGCCGAGCUCCGCCCCUGCUCCACGUCUCCUGGUCGGGCUCUCGUUCUGCGCGUGACGCCGCUGUUCCCUGGUGCUCCCUGCUCGACCCUGCUUCUUCUUCCUUGAGCCUCGCCGUGCGAGUUCUCCCUGGCUCAUGUGCCUACCGCCGUCGGCCCCAGUCUCUCGCUCGCAAGGUCUUCCCAAGCCGUCGUCUCCUGCCUCUGGCUGUCAAGCGCGACGAACUCGUCCCGAGCUCGUCACAACGUCUCAGCCCUGCGUGUCGCGCUAGCUCGCGUCUAUGGUCGCGUCCGCUGAACUCGCCAACGCCCUGUUGCCAGUCCGACUAUCGUCGCUACUGCGUGCCUCGCUGCGCGCUCGUUGGUGGUGCCGUCUGUUGUGCCCCUGCAUCCGCCCUUGUCGCUAGUGCCAACUCCGGCCGUCGCGGUAUCUGCUCCGUCCUGGCGCCCUGCGCUAGUGCUCUGCUUCCUGGCCCCGCCUGGCCUCCAGCUUGCUCAACAGUACUAUCCAUUUCGUCGUCAUACGUCUCCGCGUCAUGUACAAUAACGUCGUCGACCAUGCCUUCGCCUGCUUUGACGCGUCGAGCUCCUUCCCGUUGUGACUCGCGCACCAUCUAUUCAUCAAAAUGGAAUACUAAUGAGCUCCUCGCGACGCAGUUUCUCUGUGUCGUCGUUCGCGCCGGUAAGAUCCACGGUUCUGCUUUGUUCCAUUAAAUUCUCUUCUAGCACUAUUUUGGCUAGGUGUGGAUUUAUGUGUAUAUGUGUGGAUCUGUAAAGGAAGACGAAAGGGAAGCGCCAGUGCAACUUGUAACACCCCAGGUGUUUGCCUUAAAUUAAACUGCAAUUAUGGAUCCUUAAGAAAAAUAUCAGUUUGGAUCACUCGAAUUAGCGAAUGUAAAUUUAGGAAGCACUUGUAUUUAUAAUUCGGACCUCACUAGUUUGGAUCGACGUGUAUUCAAUUCAAAUUAAAUUUAAAAUUAAG